rnacentral:rRNA from 1 species
UACGAAGGGGGCUAGGCGUUGUUCGGAAUUACUGGGCGUAAAGCGCACGUAGGCGGAUCGAUCAGUCAGGGGUGAAAUCCCAGGGCUCAACCCUGGAACUGCCUUUGAGUACUGUCGAUCUGGAGUAUGGAAGGGGUGAGUGGAAUUCCGACGUGUAGAGGUGAAAUUCGUAGAUAUUCGGAGGAACACCAGUGGCGAAGGCGGCUCACUGGUCCAUUACUGACGCUGAGGUGCGAAAGCGUGGGGAGCAAACAGGAGUUAGAAACCCUG